rnacentral:rRNA from 1 species
GUCCACGCCGUAAACGAUGGACACUAGGCGUCGGGGGGAGCGACCCCCUCGGUGCCGUCGCUAACGCAGUAAGUGUCCCGCCUGGGGGUACGGCCGCAAGGCUGAAACUCAAAGGAAUUUACGGGGGCCCGCACAAGCGGUGGAGCAUGUGGUUUAAUUCGAAGCAACGCGAAGAACCUUACCUGGGCUUGACAUACUGGUGAAAGCUGGUGGAAACACCGGCCCCUCUUCGGAGCGCCAGCACAGGUGCUGCAUGGCUGUCGU